GUAUUAAAUUUCAUCAAUUAAACAUUCUUCUACAAUGGGUGUAAUAAAGCAAACAUAGGCCUUGGGAAAGCCUACAAAAAGUGCACAUGUGGUAUGUAGAUGACAAGAGGUGUGCACAUAUCUUAAAAAGAUCAGCUACAACCCCCUUCAAAAUUCAAUAAUGAUCCUUCCGCAGGUUCACCUACGGAAA
rnacentral:misc_RNA from 1 species